AACGAACGCUGGCGGCAGGCUUAACACAUGCAAGUCGAGCGCCCCGCAAGGGGAGCGGCAGACGGGUGAGUAACGCGUGGGAAUCUACCCAUCUCUACGGAAUAACGCAUGGAAACGUGUGCUAACACCGUAUACGUCCUUCGGGAGGAAGAUUUAUCGGAGAUGGAUGAGCCCGCGUUGGAUUAGCUAGUUGGUGGGGUAAAGGCCUACCAAGGCGACGAUCCAUAGCUGGUCUGAGAGGAUGAUCAGCCACACUGGGACUGAGACACGGCCCAGACUCCUACGGGAGGCAGCAGUGGGGAAUAUUGGACAAUGGGCGCAAGCCUAAUCCAGCCAUGCCGCGUGAGUGAUGAAGGCCCUAGGGUUGUAAAGCUCUUUCACCGGUGAAGAUAAUGACGGUAACCGGAGAAGAAGCCCCGGCUAACUUCGUGCCAGCAGCCGCCGUAACAC
rnacentral:rRNA from 1 species